GACGAACGCUGGCGGCGUGCCUAAUACAUGCAAGUAGAACGCAGUUGCGAACGGGUGAGUAAUGCGUAGGUAACUGCCUCAUAGCGGGGGUAAACUAUUGGAACCGUUAGCUAAUACCCCAUACUGUGACAUGGACCUGCGUUGUAUUAGCUAGUUGGUGAGGUAAAGGCUCACCAAGGCGACGAUACAUAGCCGACCUGAGAGGGUGAUCGGCCAAACUGGGGCUGGGGAACGGCCCAGACUCCUGAGGGAGGGAGCAGGAGGGGAACUUCGGAAAUGGGGGGAAGUCUGACCGAGCAAAGGCGGGGGGGUGGAAAAAGUUUUGAGGGCGUAAAGCUCUGUUGUUAGAGAAGCGGUAACUAACCAGAAAGGAACGGCUAACUACGUGCCAGCAGCCGCGGUAAUAC
rnacentral:rRNA from 1 species